UAAGAAGUAUAAAAAGAAUUACAAGUUGAGUCAAGAACUACCUUAGGGUAGAUGUUUUCUGGUUCUUCAACUGUUUUGUUCUGAGGUUCAUAUGGUAUUUGGUUAUCAGGAUGAGAGAUGUCUUGAUUUUUCUCUUCUCCUUCUUCUUCUUUUUCUUUUUGUUGUUCUUAUUCUCUCCCCAUUUCCUUUCCUUUUUCUUGGUGGGAAGGACCAACGGUCGAGGCAACAAUUUCUUCAUGGAUUUAGGUUUUUAGGGAGUUCUUU
rnacentral:lncRNA from 1 species